CCCUGGGUUGGGAAGAUCCCCUGGAAUAGGAAAUGGAAACUCACUCCAGUAUUCCUGUCUGGGACAUCCCGUGGACAGAGGAGCCUGUCCAUGGGGUUGCAAAGAGUCGGACACACUGGGCAAACACAGGUGGUGUGGUGGGUGAGCUGUCUGACCAUGUUGGUUCACUGAGUUCUCCUGCCCGGCCUCAGAAACAACCUCGAUCCUGAGCUUUCUCUCUGGGCGUGGGGGUGGGGGGCACGGAGUAGGUUCCUCCAUUAAUUUACUGCCCAGAGCAGUGAAUUAAUGUCUGCUUGGCUUCUGUAUCUCUUCCACUCUCCCCACUGCGACCCAGACCCCCAGUUAACUUCCAGAGUCCAGAUCCCAGACUGGGUCUUCAGGGAGCUGCUCCCUCCUUAUGGAAACCAAUAGGGCAGCAUUGCUAUAGCAUCGGAGUGACUUUUCCUUUUAACCCACUGGGAAUACUGGUGCUGUUUGCCUUCGCACCUGUAUAUUCUUUUUUUUUUAGUUUUUAAAAUAAUUUUAUUAUUGAGGUAUAGUUGGUGUACAAUAUUAUGUUAGUUUCUGAUAUACAAUAUAGUGAUUCAGAAUUCUUAUAUAUUAUACUCCAUUUAAAGUUAUUGUAAAAUACUGAUUAUAUUCCCUGUGCUGUAUAAUAUAUCUCUGUAACUUGUUUACAUAGUAAUUUGUAACUCUUAGUCCCCUCCCCCAUCUUGCCCCCUCCCCCUUCUCCCCAAUGUUAACCACUAGUUUAUAUCUAUGAGUCUGCUUCUUUUUUGUUAUAUUCAUUUGCUUAUUUUUUAGAUUCCACAUGUAAAUGAUGACAUACAAUAUUUGUCUUUCUCAGUCUGACUUCCUUCACCAAGCAUAAUACCCCCUAGGUCCAUUUGUGUUGUUGCAAAAUGGGAAAAAUUGCAUUCUUUCUUAUGGCUGAGUAGUAUUCCAUUAUAUGUUUAUACACCACAUUUUCUUUAUCUGUUCAUCUGUUGAUGGACUUUUGGGUUGCUUCCGCAUCCUGGCUAUUGCAAAUGAUGCUGCUAGGAACAUUGGGGUGCAUGUAUUUUUUUGAAUUAGUGUUUUUCGGUUUGGGGGUAUAUAUACCCAGGAGUGGACUUGCUUGAUCUUAUGAUAGUUCUAUUUCUAUCUCUUUUGAGGAAGCUUCAUACUGUUUUCCAUAAUAGCUACCCCAGUUUGCAUUCUCACCAACAGUGUGCAAGAGUUCCUUUUUCUCCACAUCCUCGCCAAUAUUUGUUAUCUGUAAUCUUUUUGAUAGCCAUUCUGACAGGUAUGAGGUGGUAUCUCUUGCCUGGGGAUUUGAUUUGUAUUUCUCUGAUGAUAGUGAUGUGGGGCAUCUUUUCAUGUGCCUGUUGACCAUCUGUGUGUCUUCAGAAAAGUUAUCUAUUCAUGUCUUCUGCCCAUUUUUAAUUGUAUGUGUUUUUUUAGCUAGAUGAGCUAUUUAUAUAGUUUGGCCAUUAACUCCUUAUUGGUUGUGUCAGUUGCAAAUUUUCUCCCAUUCAGUAGGCUGUCUUUUCAUUUUGUCAGCGGCUUGCUGUGCGGGCGCUUUCACCCCAGAACUGGGGGUUGGAGAGGAGUGAGGGGCUGGGCGGCGCUGACAGCGCUGGUUUCGGGCUGGAAACCGAUUGGACCUGGAAGAACCAGAGCUCGGGCUCCGUGGGUCUGAAGUGGGGUGCAUGAAGGUCAAAAUGGCAUUUCAGGGAGUCUGGGCCUUGUUCCAGUUGCGAGCAGACUGGGUGAGGAGAGACACUGAGCCUAGAGGUGUGAGGGGGGCAGGGGUGGAAUGGGGUGUGGGAGACACAUUUUAACCGAGCACAGCUUUCCUCCGCAUUGUGGACCUCGGGGUGAGCAAUGGAUCCAGAACCUCGUCUUGGAUCCAUUUGGUCUUUGGACUUGGAUGGUCUUUCAGACCAUCAUGGUGACAGUCAACUGCUCAGGGAGUGUCGCAGGAGACGUGGGGUGUCGCGUCCUCAGCCUCCUUCCCACCCAGGCUGCUGGCCUGGCUGGGCCGUCUUUGUUCCCUGCAGUUGUCAGAAGAGAGCUGCCCUCCCUCACUGCCUCUGCCCUUUCUCUGUGGUCUUCUCAGAGUCUCGCCAGGGCAGCUCUCUGGGAUCUGGCGCCCGGGGUCCAGAGUCCCUGCAAGACGGCCGUGCAGAGAGCCCUGAGCAGGCAAAGUGUGUUCCCACAAAAGAGGGCCUGGACACCAGAUAUUCAGCUCUCAGUCAUCGUUUUUCAUGUUCUUUUAAAAUUAUAAAAUUAAUAGUAAUGCUCAUAAAAUGUCAAACAGUUCAGGAACUUCCCUGACGGGGUCCAGUGGUUAAGACUUCGCCUGCCAAUGCAGGGGGCAGAGGUUUGACCCCUGGUCCGGGAGCUAAGAUCCCACGUGCCUCCUGGCCAAAAACUGAAACACAGAAGUGUUAAUUGUAACAGAUUCAAUAAAGAGUUUAAAAAUGGUCCACCUCAAAAUAAUUUUUUAAAAAACUGUUUUAAAAAGAACAGUCAAGCAGUUCUGAGGUAGAUGAAGUUAGUGGGUUGGGCCUCCCCACUCCCUGAAGGCGGCCACUGUCAGCCUGGGCUUGGUCCUUCACACCCACCCAGCCCUCAGGAUGGUUUCCGUUGACUGUUGACUGAGCAUCGCGGUAGAAAAACCUCCAGGAGUGUGAUGAGCCUCUGUCUCUGCUGGACUCAUAUCCAGACCCUCGAUUGUGGGGUCUGCAGCUCAGAACCAGGGUCACCCCCAGAUGCCGGGUGAUCAGCCCAGCUCCAGUCUCUGGGGGCUCACCAGGUGACUGGUAAUUGCUACUCAGGUACUCCCAACCCUCAGCCUGUCUGCAGAGGCAGAGGAUGGAGUCUGGCUGGACUCAGCUCAGGAUGGGGGGCUCGAGCUUCUCAGCUCCCAGCUUCCCUCGGUCCCCUGCCUUCCUGUGAGGUCCCCAUCCCUCUGCACCCUUGGACGUGUGGCUCCUGGGUGUCUCACUGGCCAGGAAGGUCAGGAACGCAGAAAGACUGCUUUAAUGGGCAGGGCUCUUAUUUAUUUGGGCGUGACAAAGUAUGUGAAAGGUCGUUGAUGCCCGGGAAGCACCUGUCACCGGUGAGGUUGUGUGCUGUGACCAUGAGGACUGCCACCACUCCCUCUCCAUGGCUUCACUGGGAGGUCUCUGCAGCUGCACAGCAGGAGUCAGUUCUGAGGAUGGGGACCCUUGGGCUGGGGCAGCCAGGCAGCUUGCUCAAGCUGGGGUCUGUACGUAGAUCUGCCUGCAAAGAUACUGACCCGUGAUCACCUAGCCUGGCAGGUAGCAGGUGGCCCUCUGGGCUGAGGACAUGUCCAGUGAUUAAAGGUGACCAUUUGUCCAGGACUUUUAAAGAAGAGAGGAAAGUCUUUUUUGUGGUAUUAGAACUGUUUCCCAGUCCCAGCAUUGUUGAUAUUUGGGGCAGUUCAUUCUCUGCUGUGGGUCUGUCCUGUGCAGUGAGAUGGCAUCAGUUUGCCUGGCCUGUACCCACUCGUUACCAGUAGCAUCUCCAUCUCUGCUCGUGACCACCAAAAAGGUCUCCAUACGUUGCCAGAUGUCCCCCGGGGGACAGACUUGCCCCUACUGAGAGCCCCUGGACUCGAGAACUCGGAUUGGGCUUCCAGUGAUCACUGCCUUGGCAUCAUGAGCUGCUUCUCACUUGGGUGCAGUUUUCUUUGUUCCUUUUCCAAAAGGCUGACCUCAUCGAGCUCAUUUGUUUGUUUCGUUGACUCACCCAGCUCUAACCACAAGAGCCUUCCUACGUUGGGGGAUCCCAAAUGACUUAUCAUGGGACUCUGUACGUAAAUCUAAAAGAUUCUCGUCUGCUAAAUUGGAGGCAGACACUUCUCUUUUAGCUCUGCUUCUGAAGCCCUUGCCUCCAGCAUUCAAGGACACACGAGGCUCCUGCUGAAGAUUUUACUGUGAGCACCCUUGCAGUUCAGUUUUCUGAAAUCGCCAAGCAUUUUUCUCCCAUUCAUUUGGGUCUUAGCCCAGUGACUAGCAGAUGAUCUAAGGGCCAGAGCGGUCUGGAGUUGGCCAGUGCUUGGGGGAUUUUCUUAAGGCCUCUGACCUAGGACUGGCUGGGGAGGAGGAGCCGGGAGGGGGAGGAUGAGGAGGAAGAAGGGGGAAGGAGAGACAGGUUCCAGGUGGAUCCACCCACCCAGAGUGCACCCACUGCUGUGCAUCAGGACCCUUGGGCAAGGCCUGGCCUUUUGGGGGCUCCUCUUGAGGCCCUGAGAAAGCUACUGCCUUUGAGGUGGGGCUGCACAAAGCUCAAUGUAGCCCUGAGGACUGAUGCAAUCCUGAGGUCAGAGACCACGCCUUCUACCCACUUGGUGAGCGAGGCUGUAACCCCGAGAAAGAAGGCUGGGUUCUGACUGGUCCUCUCUUGGGCUCCUUUUCCUGCCUCACUGACUCCUUAGGGAAAUCGGUUCUGGUUUCCAAGUGGGGGCUUUAGAUCUUAACACCUGCCUUGCACUUGAAAACUCUAGUUAUCGGAAGAUCUCGUGUGCCCACAGCUCUCCUCUCCGGCAUCGGUGCUUCUGUUCUGCUGUGGCUCCCCGAGGCUCGGCUCGAUUGGCUACCUCUGAAGCACGCAACUGAACUUGAACAGCAGUUGGGAUGCCCAGGCCCACCCCCCUGGCGCCACCUGUGGCCUCACAUUCAGCCUGUGUGGAGAGCUCCAUGCUUGCUAUUGACUUGGGCUGGACUGGCCAGAGAACAGAAGGGACCAGAAGCUAGAUCUGGCUGCCAAGGGCCCUUCAUCCUGGAUGGCAGGACGCUAGCCGGCUGUACCAGAUGCCACCAGCCCCGCCAACAUGUGCCCAUCCACCCCCGGUUAGCACAUGAAGCCAGGACCUCCUCUCUCAAACCAGACAGUCAGUACUCCAGGCGCCCAGGGAUGCUUCCUGAAGGGCUGGGACCAAGAGGGGUGAGUGGGUCUGUGUGCACUCAGAGCGGAGUUUCAGGGGCACCCUUUAUUCCCUGGGGCUGUUCUCCCUGCCCUUACCUGUGCUAGCUCUGAGUUUUCCGGAUUCCAGCCUCUGUGGUAGCCAAUCUGUCAGCGGCUGGCUGAAAGCUACUUUCCCAGAAUAGCCACCCAGUGGAAAAGAGCAGCCCUGGAAUUUGACCCUGACGAUCCCCGCGAAGGUCUUGCCCAGGCUCCUGGUCCCACCUGGCUCCACCUCUACCCAUCACCGGGGCACUGUUGGCGGGUGUGGGGGCUGGGUUUUUCUUCUCUCCUCCUCCCUUCUUCCUCUCCCCUUUUGUUUUUUUCUCCACCAGCUGUAGAUUUAGGAUCCAGGUGACUCAGAGGGAUGUUCCAGUGCUUGAGAGGCUGGGCAGGUGGUGGGAGUAGGUCACACGGUGGAGGCAGAGAGGGGAGGGGACCCUGGGUGCCAGCACCUCUCUGCAGGUGAAUGCACACCUAAGGCAGGGCCUGGGCACUGGCAGCGAGCCCAGGCCCAGAGGUGGAGGCGAGCCCGGCAGGUCGGACAGGUGGAGCGAGUCCAGUGGCUUCGGGGCCACAGCUGAGGGUCCCAUCCCUGGUCCUCCCUCAGCCCACAAACCAGGUAAUCCAUCUUUUUAUCUUUUCUGCUGGUUUAGUUCACUGUCAACUUCAGGCAACACUUAUGACUUGGGGGAAAAGAAAGCCUUUGAGAUUUUCAAGAGAAAUCAUGAGUUUCUUUGGAGAGUACUUGCCGUGUUUGUAUGUGGGAAACUUGGCCUUGGCCUCAUAAAAACACAUCUAAUUGUCUGGUCCUUGGUUCUGAAAAGCAGGUUUCUUACGGAGCCUAGAUUGUUGUUGUUGCUGUUGUUCAGUCACUCAGUCAUGUCUGACUCUUUGCAACCCCAUGGACUAUUCUGUCCAUGAGAUUUCCAGACCCAGGGAUAGAAUCCGUGGUGGAUUAUUUACCUCUGAGCCACCACAGGAGCCCUUAAAUCCUCCUUAUGGAAAAGGAAAACAGCCCACCUAACCACAACAAAGCCUUCCUUCCACAGGCUCCUCAUUCACAGUUACAAAAAAAAAAAUCUCUCGUUUCUGGACCUUGCCUUCCUGAUUUGCCAUUCAGCAUCCAGGCUCCUUGGGCUUCCCAGGUGGCUCACAGGUAAAGAAUCCGCCUGCCAAUGCAGGAUACGUGGGUUCAGUCCUUGGAUUGGGAAGAUCCCCUAGAGAAGGAAAUGGCAACCCACUCCAGUAUUCUUGCUUGGGAAAUCCCGUGGACAGAGGAGCCUGGCGGGCUAUAGUUCAUGGGGUCACAAAGAUUUGGACACAGUUACUGACUAAACAACAACAAGCGGAUUUGGGCUGAGCUGCCUCACGCCGAGUCUCAGCUCAGAAGCAUGAAGGGUGCUGGGCUCCUUCCAAAACUCAAACUUACAUUACGGCCCUUGGGCAGAGUUUUAUUUUGAAAUUGUUUGAAGUUUCACAUCACCUCUCCUGCUAAGGUGGACUAGACUUGUGAGAGCCAGUGUCCAGGUUUUCACCCACAUUUUAUUUAGCCCAGAAGUUGUCCCCUUAGUCUUUGAGGUGGGACGGGGGAGUGGUUCUGGCUUGAGGGCAGGCAGGGAAAAGCACAGAUCUGAAGAACAAAGCCAGGACUCUCAGCCGGAAAUGGGGACUGAUUUUGUCCUGUACGGCAUAAAUUGAACUUAUGCAUUGCUUCCUCUCUGCGGUCCAUGCCCUCCUCUAUCUGCCAAUAUCCGGGAACAUCACCCAGGUGCUCAGAGCAGAUGCCACGUUUGUCUCAAAUUGCCCUUGCACUUUGCAGGGAGAGGACACAGAAGCUGCUUCUGCUGCUGAAGCUUUUGUAACAUAACAUUUUUUGUUAAGUGGUUUGCCCUUUUUUUUUUUUUUUUUUUUUCAUUUUUAAUUCCAAGGUAAUUUGUGGUGUUCAAAUUGCUUAGAUUAUGGGAUAUAUCGGUUAGGAUUCCUUCUUCUGUAAGUAGGAGAAAACACUACUCAAAAUAACAAAUGAUCAGAACAUUAAAAUUUUUAUAAAACAUAAGUGCAGAGAUAGAGGAGUUUUGUGAUGGGUUAUGUAUCCAGGACUCAACAAGGUCAAGGAGUUAAGACUUUGUCCCUAUUUUUGCUCUGCCAUCCUCCACAUACUGACUUGUCUCCCACCAGCUCACCUCCUGCCUAACUCUUCCUGGGGUCUCUUAUUGUAAGUGAGGAAACUUUUCCCAAUGCCCCCUGUCCAGCCCCAGCCAAUCAGUGGCAAGGAGGAGGGGGUUACUGUGAUGGAAUUCUUGAGGCCCAUGUGACCAGGAGAGGAGGGUAGAUAAACUGCAUCAAAUCAGAGUCUAUGAGUAGGUGGAGAGAGGGUGUGAAUUUGGGGCCAUAUUGCCACAUCAAAAAUUUACAUUUAUUCAGAUCUGUGACUGAUUUGGGGGCAGUAACUCUUGCUCCCAAAACACAUGUAUUUUUUUCAAUACGCAGUUCUUAAUGCAAGAGCAGUUUAGAUAAUCAUGGUAUCCACACUUAGCCUUUUACCUCCUAGGAGGCCCUCUUCCUUAAACAUCUGGGCCAGUGGUUUUUAAGAGUUCGAGCUUUUCUCCUUUUAAAAUUUAUUUAUUUAUUUAUUUAUUUUUGACUGUGCUAGGUCUCUGUGGCUGCUUGGGCUCUUCUAUAGCUGUGAGCAGGGGCUAUUCUCUAGCUGCGGUGUGCGGACUUCUCAUUGUGGUAGCUUCUCGUUGUGGGGCACAGGCUCUGGGGCACAGGCUCAGUAGUUGUGGUGUGCAGGCCUAGUUGCUCCAAGGCAUGUGGAAUCUUCCCUGACCAGGGAUCAAACCUGUCUCCUGCAUUGGCAGGGCGAUUCUUAACCAGUGGACCACUAGGGAAAUCCUUCCUCCCACUUUUGACAUCACUUUGAAAUGCAAGAGGACACUUAUGGUUGGUAUGAAAUGUCUUGGAUUCCUUGCAAAGCUUUGCAGAGGAGUGUGUGACGCAAAGCCGUGACUCUUUGAGUACCUUGCUUGUGCCACCAGGCCGGGCUCUUACAAAGCACUUGUUCCUAUGGUUCAGAACUGCUCACAGUUAUGAUUUUGCACGUCUGUGAUUUCCUCCCCAUAUCUCUCUCUCUUACCAGGAGUCUCCCAAGACCUAGGACAUCCUCCCCAUUGAGUCUUCAGCACCCAUUGAAAGUAAUAUGUUAUGGGUUCAUGAAGGGGACAUUCAUGCUUUCUGAAAGAUGCACUGUGGAAUUAGGAAGGCUUCCUGAGUGAAUUUCCACAUCUCCGUGGAUGGAGAACGGGUCCUGCUUUCCCAGGAAUGGUGACAUUCAAGAGCCUUGUUCUCAGAAUCCACUUUUUCUUUAAUGCUUAAAAUUUAAGUGCUAGGAACUUAAAACGCCCCUGGUGAAGAUGACUUCUGAUUUUCUUGUAUUCUGGUUCCCUGUAUUUUCUUGUAUUCCUGGUUCCUUGGGCCGGCAGCUCUAGCUCUAUAGCAAGAUGUAUCGGGCUUGGGGCUCAAAAGGGCCCCUGUAAGAAGAGAAGGGCUUCCCAGGUGGCACUAGUGGCAAAGAACCCGCCUGCCAGUGCAGGAGACGUGGGUUUGAUCCUGGGGUUGGGAAGAUCCCCUGGAGGAGGGCAUGGCAACCCACGCCAGUAUUCUUGCCUGGAGAAUCCCAUGGACAGAGGAGCCUGGUGGGCUACAGUCCAUAGGGGUCACAAACAGCAGGAUACGACUGAAGCAACUUAGCACACACACAAGGAGAAGAGAAGUAUCAUCACAGCUCUGAGCGGAACUCCAGGCCUUUUAAACAUCUUGUGUUAAUGCAGCAGAAGCUCACCUGGCAAGUGGACCAAAGCGUUUCAGUAGAAAGGAAAGUACAUUGAAAAAGUAUGUUCACAUGGGUCGUGACUUUCCAGUAAAGUCUGAUUCCGUGAAAGACUGCUAACUUGGUGUGUUUUGUAGAUUUCAUGGAAUGCAGUCAGAUUUGAGGCACUGACUGAUUAUUCACGCUAGCCUCCUGUCUCUGAUGGGAAAGAUUGUUCCUCAGGUCCUGGCCUCCUCUCUCUGGAAGAUUGUCCUCUCCAUCUGAAAGCCCUGACUGAUCAGCCGUGGCGCCUGGGGUGGGGACGGGAGGAGGGGAGUGAGGCAGCCUCCCUAGGUAGACCUCUUCAUCAAAGUUGCUGCCUAGAUUCAGAAAAUGGGGUUCUGCAUGGAAAUCAGGGGGCGGGGCUGGCUUAGAUACCCCCAGCCCCACAUCUUGCUUUUUGGAGCCAUCUUUCUUUUGGAGGGUUGCUGUCCUGAGCUGCUUGUAGGGUCUUAGUGCCCCCCCCACCAGGAAUCGAACCCAGACCUGGACACUGAAAUCUCUAAGUCCCAACUGCAGGACCACCAUGGAAGUCAUUGAGGCAUCUUUUCUUCCAGACUGUUUCUGAGCCUGAGGGUGGGCUGGACCCGGAUCUGACAGGCCCCUCGUCUCCAUCCUUCCCACACCCUGUGACACCUGCUCUGGACCUGUGCCAGGGAUGAAGACAUGCCCUGUCCCCACGAAAUGCACAGCCCUCCCACCCUCGGUAGUGGCAGAGCCACACUCGGGACUGCAGCCGGAGAGCGCCCACACUGGCCAGGCGUGCCGCUGCCCCUUGAUCUGCAUGUAGUCAUCUUCACAGUGGGAAGCCUGCCUCUGCUUCCAGUUUCCAGGGUCCUCUGCCUGGGCUGGCCUAGGCUGGGAGUCAAGGGAAGGGGAGACUCAGACCCCUCUUGUUCCUGUGCUCACGGGAGGGUAUGGUCGCUGCAGGAAGUGCCUUUGGCCCCUUCCCAGACCUGCUGGAUCAGAAGCUCCACUGUAGGGCUGGGAAUCUGCCCCUUUCCAAGCUCCCAGGCAACUCAGGAAAACCGAUGCUUACACACAGGAAAACUGGUGCUCUAACCUGAUGAAAGUGUUCUGCCAGGACUUACUUUUGGGGUAAAACUGGACAUAUUUGGGGCAUUUUCCCACACUAAAAGAUAACGCCUGACUUGCUUUUAUUUUAUUUUUUUUUAAUCUUUAUUUCUUUGGCUGCACUGGGUCUUAGUUGUGGCACGCAGGAUCUUUGAUCUUCACUGUAGCACGUGGCAUCUUUGGUUGUGGCAUGUGGGGUCUAAUUCCCUGACCAGGGAUCAAACCUGGGCCCCCUGCAUUGGGAGCAGAGUCUUAGCCAGACCACCAGAAGUCCCCUGCCUUGCUUUGUUAGCAUACAGACGUGUUCACCUGUUUGGGGGCAGAAGACUGAGGUAAGCAGUCAUUCCAUCAGCCCCACUGGACAUUUUGUAGCCAAGAAGGGAUAAGCCUGUGUGCCCUCCUCCUGCAGCAUGUGUGUGGGACACCCUCCCAGGGGCUUUCUCUUCUCGGGCAGAGAGAUUCCUCUGGCUGGGGAGCUGCCUUCCUCUGUACCCCCUUGCCUGGAACGCAGGUUUCUGGGAUUUCCCUUGCUGGGGUAGAGAACUCCCGCUGCAUGUCCCCCCACACACACCUUGGGUGGUCUGCAUCCAAAGCCAUGAGUCACGCAAUCUUCAGGCUGCCUCUCUGUGAUGGUCAGUUGGAGGCGUCUGCGUGAGCAGGCUGUGGGACCCAGGAACCCAGCCAGACACUAGGUGCUGCUGUGACGUUUUGCAGGUGGGUCGUCAUCCACCAUCAGCUGACUCUGAUUGAAGAUCAUCCAGGAGAGUUGGUGGGCCUCAUCUAGUCAGUUGAAGGCCUUAAGAAUCCAGCUGGGACCCAAGAGGAAGAAAUUCUGUGGUUGGAUGGCAGUGUCUGCUCUGGCCCAGGAGUCUCCAGCUUGCUAGGCUGCCCUGCAGACUUCAGCCUGGCCUAACAGCCCCUGUGAGCACAUGAGUCCACUCCUUGACAUAAAUCUUCAUCCAUAUCUCCUUUGUCAGAACUCUGAUGGAUCCACUCCAGACCGUGCCUGGGAUCUGGGAGCAGUCACUGCUGCUUUAUUUUGUUGCUUGCUUUUUUUUUUUUUGGCUGCCCUGGGUCUUUGUUGCAGGACAAGGGCUUCUCUUAUUGGAGCGUUUGGGCUUAGCUGCCCCCCAGGUCAUGUGGGAUCUUAGUUCCCUGCCCCCGUGAAUCAAACCCACAUCCCCUGGGUUGCAAGGUGGAUUCUCAACCACUGGGCCACCAGGAAAGUCCCCAUGAAUUUUAAACUAUUGUCAUUUUCUAACUUCUCAUCCAGGGAAGCGCUGGCUUAUUUUUCCUCCUGAUCAGUGUGGGUCAUGGGCCAGCCCUGCUGGGGUCUUUGCAAUCUCAGCUUUCUCCUCCAUCCUCUUUCCUCCCCUCCCCAUUUCUUUCUCUGCAGGUUUCAAGCAGAGGCAGGACAGGCCUGCCCCCUGUCAUCGGCGGGGCCAGCUGUGAGUGUUUCUUUGGCAGUGUCUUAGCUGGUUGUUGUGAGUAAUAAUGCAGGAAGCAAUCAGCAAGUAUACUGCCCUAGAAGUGCUGCACGUUGUGGGCCCAGGAGGGAAGAAAGGGGCAAGACACUUGAACCAUCAUGGGAUGCUGGGACAGGAUGUCGGAGGCUUUGCCCUGCCAUGGCAGCUGGUAAGGGCUGCUGGGGAAGCAAACUCUUGGGCCCCUGGAGCUGCCUGCUUAUAACUGGUGGAGGAAAAAGGUGCACAGGCUGGGCCAUGGAUGGUUUCUGGCUAGGAGGAAUUUGCACGUAGGAAUGAUAAUCGCCAAUGUUUAUGGAGCACUUACUAUGUAUGAAGCCCUGCAUCCUAGGGCUUAUGUAUUAUCUCAGGAGCAAGAAUCUGUUGUUACCCUGCCUUUCAGAGAAGAAACAGAAGUACCAAGAGCAAAAGUAACACAGGAUGGGACUUCCUGGUGGUACAGUGGUUAGGGCUCUGUGAUUCCACUGCAGGGGGCACAGGUUUAAUCCCUGGCUGGGCAACUAAGAUCCCACAAGCCACAUAGUGUAGCUGAAAACAACAAUAAUAAUAAAUUUUAAAAGUAACAAAGGAUGCAGUUGAUAGAAAGGGGAGCCAAGCAAUCUGGCUCAGAACUCUGUACUCCUAACUGCAGGCUCGUGUCAUUAGAGAUGGGCCUGGGAUGGUGUCACUGACCUGUGGGGACCCCCUUUGCCGAGUGAUUUGAAUGUGAACACCCUCUACUCUCUCUCCCUCCCUGCAUGAAGCAAAUUUCAAAUGCAAUCAUAUGCUUCAGAGAAGGUACCUGUGUGAGCAUUAGGAGAUGUGUCUGCCUUGGGGAGAGUUUUUCUUUUCAUCUGAAGCCAGGCCCAGGAAGUUGAUGGGGAGGAGAAUCUGGUGGUGUUUUCUGCACUAGUGUCUGAUAAGAAGGGUUGCCCCAAGGGAGCUCAGCUGAGAUGAGAGUGUGGUUCUCCGGGUCCCACCAGUUCCACCUACCGAUGCCAGCUUUGGGUCCAGCGAGCUGUGAGGCCUGCCAGAUUACCAUGGCAACAGGAACUGGAUCCAAGCCACCAAAGGAUGGAGAGCCAAGACAGCAGUGGCUUUUCCAAGUCUUGGAUCACCAGGCACACCCCAUGGCCUCCAGCAAGCCCGGGAUAACCCAACAGCAAGACAGGCCCUGUGUGUCCCCAGAGCCUGCCAAACCAGCUUGGGGUCCUUGCCUUCCUGCUGUUGCUAUCUACUUGCUGACACUGAGUGGUGAGUUCCCCAGUUCACUGUCCCGCUGAUUUUCCCCAUUGUUCUCCCAUAUAGUGCUUAUAGGAAUUCACCUGAAUCCCAGAGGCAAAGCCACAUGCCAGUGGCUGACUCCUCUGACCCCAGUGACUAAAGUAAGACAAGCCUCCAGGGUCUAUGAAGCGAUGGAUACUGUUGAUGCAGUUGAGGACAGCACCUACUGUGACCGGCCCUCCUGCAACCUCUGCGUGUCGUCUGCUGCUCCCCCUCCAGCCACUGCCCAGGGCCCCUCCCCUGCUCAUGCCCACCCAACUGGACCCCAUCUCUUAGCUCUGUCUUGUCUUUCUUUGUGCUUCUAAACUCUGGAAGGGAGAGGAGACUAUUUCCAUUCUGACCACUUUGUAAGAGUCAGAAGGGCCUUAGAAUGGUUUUCUGGGAUUUGAAAUUGAACCUUGGCCUUGACACACUCUGCCUGAUAGCCCCUCCUCCAGGCUAAGCCAGUCCCCUUUCUCUGAUUGCUGGAAAGCAAAGCAGGCAGCCAGAUCUGUUCCCGUGGGAAUGGUCCGGUCCUCCUCUGCUCAGCGGGCUGGCUUCAGAGAGGAUCCCUUUGUCAUGCACACUGCACUGGCCAUGCCUGUGGCCGCCUGGCUGCAGUUCCUCUCUGCUCCCCAGAGCCUGUGUGGGCUGCAGCAGGGCCAUUGCGUGCCUGGGAUGCCGGCUGCAGUGACAGAGCCAGCCCAGAGCCCUCACGGGAGUUCUGACCGAGACAGCAUUUGGGAUCGAUUAUAAGCCAAAGUCUUUACAUUUUUUCCCCCAGUUUUAGGCUGAAGUAAAGAAUGCCUCUGCCUUCUCCAACCACCAACUGAUUUGGGGGCUUGAACUUCUCAAAUAAAGGGACCAGACUCCUCUGUCCAUGGAAUUCUCCAGCCAAGAGUACUGGACUGGGUUGCAUUCCCUUCUCCAGGGGAUCUUCCUGACCUAAGGAUCGAACCAAGGUCUCCUGCGUUGCAGAUGGAUUCUUUACCAUGUGAGCCACCAAGGAAGCCCAAAGGGACCACAGGUGUUUCUCUGGUGGUCCAGUGGCUAAGACUCUGUGCUUCUAAGGCUGGAGGUGCAGGUUGGAUCAUGGUCAGGGAACUCGGAUCCCGCGUGACAUGAGGUGAGGCCAAAAAAACAAAAAACCAAAAAAAUCACUUAAAUAUAUAUAUGUCAGCCUAUAUAUUUAAUAAGUUCUGUGGAUCAGUAAUAUCCAUUUCCUAGUUUCAGUAUUGUCCUACAGUUACUGAGAGAAACUGACUCAAAAGUACAUAGGAUGUCUCUGUUUUUUUGUUUUGUUUUGUUUUGUUUUUUGCAAUUUUCUGUAAAUCUAUGGUUAUUUCAAAAUAAAAAGUUACAACAUA